AUUGCUUCUAAGCCUUUUGGCUAAGAUCAAGUGAAGUAACUGUUACUACAGAGAUUCAUUGUCUCUGUUUUUAAUUAGAACUUUUUUAAUUAUCCAAGUUUUAUGGGAAAAUUAAU
ensembl:snRNA U2 U2 spliceosomal RNA